rnacentral:tRNA from 2 species
CGGGGUGUAGCCCAGUUGGUAGGGUGCGACAUUUGGGAUGUCGAGGCCGCGAGUUCGAGUCUCGCCACUCCGA